CAUAGAGAAGAACCCGCGGGGGGACGGUACAACUUGAAGCUUGAGUCUUAAUAAACCACUAAAGUAACUCAACUCUGGCGUGUGUUAGUAUACUGUACUGUAUCGAUAAAAGGCAGAAGUCCUGUUAACUACUGAAGAUGAAGAAGGGAGGGAAAGAUUCUCGUCAAAAGAAGACUUCACCAAAGUCAGAAGCACUGUCUCCGGACAUGAGGUCUGUACUCUUCAAUCCCCAGUUAAAGGAAAUUAACAGUACCUCCUCAGUAGUGGUACCAGACACACCUCCCAUUUACCCCAAUAUAAGUUCGUCCAUAGCUUCCAGUGUGCUUUCAGUUAUGGAAACUCCAGAUAUGAUGGACAGUAACUCACCAAGAGAAGAUGAUGGUGAUGUAAACAUUAGGGAACAGGUAGAGAGGGCCAGACCUGCACAGAGAGUUGGUAGUGUUCGUGAGGAACUUGACGCCUUUAUUGACACCACUCCUGACCUUAAUUUAGGGAAAAGAAGGAGCCUUGUCUCCAUCUUGGAGUCUGAACAUUCCUUCUCAAACACUCUACAGUCACAAAAAAUGAAAAAUAGUUCUAUGGUUUCUGGUCAAAAUAAAGUCAAGAAAUCAAGGAAAGAAUCAACCAAAGAAAUUGGGAGUUUUUCACCCCAUAAAGGAAGAAAAAAGAGAAUGUCUCUAGCAGAUGUUAUAUUACCAUUUGAUCUCAACAAUACUAGAAUGGUCUCCAACAAACUUGGUAACAUAAGAGCUAAAGAACAAGAGAGAAGACAGUCGAUGAAUUCUCCAAGAAGAUCUACGCCUGCCAAGUCGAGGAAUUCUCCAAGAAGAUCUACGCCUGCCAAGUCGAGGAAUUCUCCAAGAAGAUCUACGCCUGCCAAGUCGAGGAAAUCCUCUCUCACUCACGCACUCAGAGAAGAUGUUGUUGAGUCUAAAAAUGAUAAGAACGCAACAAUAAUUUUUGAUAGUGAAGAUCUGGCUCUAACUCCAGUCUCUAGUAGCAGUCAGAAGACACUGGAGAAAACACUGCAUGGUAUUAUAGGUGGGCUAGAGUCUGAUAAAUUAGAUGAAACGGAACCUUUAGGACGGCUCCAACCUCUUAUGGUAGAUAAACAAAAAUACGAGCUCCCAAUACUUAGUUUACAAAGCUUGUGUCCAUCACUUGAUACAAGACUCAGUGGACCAGUGAAGAACCAGGAACAAACAAGAGACUCACUAGCAAGAAAUAAUGCUGCUAGAAAUGUUCCUGAUGAGCAGAACAAGACGAGGCCAAAAGGAACAUCAUUACACAGUGCUAAAUGUACCGAUGAGACAACGAAAGAUGGUUGUGAUGGUACACCAGGGCAGCCUCCAAGCCCUAAGCCAGAAUUGGAGUCAAUUUUACAAGGUCUUGUUGUCUACGUUGAGGUGCGCAUGGGAAGUGACAACCGCUCUUCAGUUAUUAAAGACCAGCUGAGAUCCUUGGGGGCGGACGUGCGAGAGAGACUGACUGUAGACGUCUCUCAUGUUGUCUUCAGGGAUGGUUCCAAGUAUGUUUUCGACCAAGCGAUGAAACGCGGACUUCACGUGGUGUCGUCACUGUGGGUGGAGGCUUGUCGGGAGAAGCUUCAGCGCGCACCGGAGGCUCUCUUCCCAAGUUGCUCAAUGGAGUCUUAUACCAAACCCUUGCUUACUGCCAAAUGGAGGAAAGUAAAGUCUAUGCAACCAAAGGAGUUCUCAGAAGAGGAGGCGUUAGCUGCCAAUCGUGCCCGUCGCCGUCACCGCCGCCUGCAGACCCUCGACUCCCCAGCAACUUCAUCAAGUACAGCAAGUGAUGUACAGUGUUUUACACCACAGUGCAAUGCUGCUAAGAAGGAGGCGGUUGACUCCCCACUGUUUGGCAUCAGUCAUCUCCUCACCCCACAACGGCGGAGCUCUGGAUCCUCAUCAUCAAGUGAGGAGGAGGAGGAAAACAUUACAGGAAUUGACUUGCCAACAAAAAUCAGCACCCCACUUGUAAAGCGCCUCUAUAAUAGGUUUAUUUCUCCGAGAUCAGGCAGUAACAGGAGAACGAUCAAUAGUGAUAAAGAAAGACAGGAAAACCCCUCCUUGAACUCAUCAUGGGAAGAUCUGUCUCAUAGAAAUAAAAAUGAGAAAUCCGAGAGAGAAAAGACAAGUAGUGUGGCCUUAGAUAAUUUAGAGUGUCAGAUGACGUUCGGAAGCAAAACACUUUCAGAAGAAUGUGUAAGAUUGAAGUUACGUCUAAGUGACACCAGCGCAACGAACAGUGAGAGUAGUAACGUUGAGGCGAUGGAAAUGCCGGUUAGAUUAAGUUCAAGUCUAUCCAGAGGUGAAAGUACAAGUAGUGUCGAUCAUGCUCAAGGGGACACACAGCAUGUAUUAGAAUUGAGGCCUAAAAGAUCCUGUAGAGUAAAUGGAAAGUUAACUAGACUUUCUGUAACCAAUAAAACUCUAUCUUCAGAAUGUGGAACUUCAAAAGUUAGGGAAAAUACAAGUUCAUUCACGUCAGAUUCCAGCCUUGAAGAUUUUGAGCAUGUUGAUAAGCCAAACCUCAGUUGUAAAAGAGUUAUAAGCUUAUUGUCAAGUUCAGAGGGAUUUUAUUCUGACCGUAUUGAUAAUUCUCUUUUAAAUAAAGUUCCACGAAAAAGAAGGUGGUUACCAUCGUCAGGAGAAAGUAUUUUAGGAGAUGUAAAUACUACUUCAAGUACAAGUUGUUUGGCCAUUCCACAACAGAGUACUUGUGAAACAGGUCUUGAAGACCCUCAGUAUAAAGGGAGAUUUACCAGAUCAAGGACAAAGUCUAACAAUAAGAUUAAAGUCUCUCCAGAGAAAAUCCCUGUGGAAGGAGACGGAAAACUGGCGAUAGAUUCAAAAUACAGAAAAACAAGCCAUCAGACACCACCGAAGAGACAAUCUACUUCAUCUGUUUCUAGUCAUAAAAAUACCAGGAAGAAGAGUAAUGGAGAAUUAAAUGAUGAUUUACACAAAGAGAAGGAAAGGUUAUCUCCAGAGAGUAAAACCCAUAUGUUAGAUAGUCAAUUUUUGCUCUCACAAGGUUCUCAAAGUACUUCUUGUCUCAGUUCCUCACAGGUUAGGAGGAGGAAACUGCUCUGCAUGGAUACAAUAGUGGCAUCUCAGGAACUCAUAGUGCCAGUUACUCCUGAAGCUCAUACAAGAAAGGAAGGAAUAUACACCAAGUUAAAAAUCAAGGGGAGCACAACCCAGCGAGCAGCCAUGAAGAAACAGAAGGAUCACUCCACUAUGCCACUCCCACGUAAUAGCAAAACAUCAAUACACGGAAAAAACAAAUCAGCCGAGUCUACUUUCUUAACGGAAGAGACUAAUCCCAGUAAAUCAUUGGGUAAUAUAAGUAAAAUCCUGAAGAGGUCAAAGACUUCAUCUUCGUCACAAAACCCGUCGUGUAAAUGGCCCGAGUCAGAGGACGACAGCGUCUUUAGCUCGGAGGAGGAGAGAGUGUCCAUUGCCUCCAAGAUCCUGCCAAUACCACGAGAUAGAGACUCGAUUGAGGAAUUUCAGAAUGUGAUGGACUUGAGACCAAGGCCGGAGAAGCCUAAAACCAUGAUGGGUGCAUCAAUAUGUUUAACCAGUAUCCACUCCAAAUCUGUCGAGAACAAAGAGAGAAUCAGAGAACGUCGUACCAGCAGACACUGUUCUCUGGAGUAGGCAGCAUUUUUGUCAAGGAAGGAUGUAUCCCUCCAUCAAAACAACUAAAGAAGCUGUUACAUUUGUGUGGAGCCGAUCUAGUCACCGACAUUCGUGAAGCAAACUUAGUGAUCGGGUCCCCCACUGCAGCAUCAGGAGCCCGGCGAGACUUUGCCCAGAUUACUCAUGUUUCGGAGAAGU
rnacentral:misc_RNA from 1 species